rnacentral:lncRNA from 1 species
UAUCGUAACACCAACAGUUAAAAUGAUUUACAUUAAGCAUUAAUACUUAUGGAACAGUAUACAAAACUUAAAACAUAUAAAGUGCAUAGUUCCGUUCAUCCAAAAACCUUGCAUCUAAUCCUUAAUCCUGGGCCCUGGUCAAAGUGGCACUUGGUCAAAAAAAAAAAAAAAAGAAAAGGUUGGGAACCACUGGAUUAGAUUAAGCUGGUUAACCAGUUAAAAUUCAUGGGUAAAUUAGGAGGGUUUUUUUUUACCUGAAAAAAAUCGGGGGGGGGGGGGAGAGAUUGAACCCCUAGUCCGCCCCCUCUCCCUGGGGGCUUGAUAGAGGAGGGGGAGGAAGCGAAGAAAGAAGAGGAGGCGGCUGCAACCUUGCAACCUCCCUCCCUCCCUCCCUCCCUCCUUGGUGGCCACUUGGCAACUGGCUGCGUCUUCAGCCUCUGUUCGGAGGAAGGAGGGGAGGAGGGAGGGGAGGGGGCGGGCUGCUGUUCCUGAUUGACAGCCAGCCCCAAGCGCCUCCCCUCCGCCGCCCAAUACAGAGGCAAGGGGAAGGAGAGCCCUCCUCUUUCUCCCCCUCCUUCCCUCCCUCCUUCCCUUCCCGCUCUUCUCCCCGCGCCGCUUUGCCAGAGGAGCGCCGGCUGGGCAUGGCUGGGGUCUGCUGCUGCUGCUGCUGCGGGGCUCUGGAGCAGAGGGCGAAGGAGCAGGUUUCGCUCGUCUCUUAAACCUGCUGAGAGGCUUUGGAAUAUCUCUAAUAGAGGUCAUUAUUGCAGAUUGUUGGACCUGGUACAGAAGAAUACACUUCAAGGUAUGAUUUUUUCAGUGUAUUAAUUGUUAAGCCACAUACCAAAAGAAAUUUAAUCAUAUAUUAUAAAGUUAGUUUUCUGUGUUCUGUGUAAAUAUGCACUUGCCCUCAAUCCAUAGCUCUGUGGGCUUAUGCUUGUGUGUGGCUUUCCACCAGGGGUUUCUCCAUAGUUAAGUAGCCAUAAUUAAUAAAUGAAUUUGCAACCUUUUUUUCUGAAAUGAAUGGGAAAUUUUUCAUUUUAUAAAAUUAGUGAUUCAGAUCCUAAUCAAAACUGUAGUAUGACUCCUGAAUCUGCAGGGAAUAUGUUCCCGGAACCAUUGAUAGUAAUGAACCCUAUUGAAAGGAAAGGCUGCUGGCCCAAGAAUUCCAUAAAAUCAUGCUGAAGGACUCAGAAAAUAUCUAGAGGAGACAUAUUUUCUUGUACAUGGAUACACAAAACCACAGAUCCCAGGGGAUUGUAUUGUAACUGUGGGCACCACAGUUGAAGGGAGAUGUUGACAAGCUGGAAAGCG